rnacentral:rRNA from 1 species
AGCAGCCGCGGUAAUUCCAGCUCCAAUAGCGUAUAUUAAAGUUGUUGCAGUUAAAAAGCUCGUAGUUGAAUUUCGGGAUUGACGUGAUGGUCGUGCCUUACGGGGUAUGAACUGUUGCUGUUGAUUUCUCACCUUCUGGAGAAACUUGAUGUCCUUAAUUGGGUGUCUUGCGGAUCCAGGACCUUUACCUUGAAAAAUUAGAGUGUUUAAAGCAGGCAUUUUGCUCGAAUACAUUAGCAUGGAAUAAUAGAAUAGGACGGCAUGGUUCUAUUUUGUUGGUUUCUAGGAUCACCGUAAUGAUUAAUAGGGAUAGUUGGGGGCAUUAGUAUUCAAUUGUCAGAGGUGAAAUUCUUGGAUUUAUUGAAGACUAACUACUGCGAAAGCAUUUGCCAAGGAUGUUUUCAUUAAUCAAGAACGAAAGUUAGGGGAUCGAAGACGAUCAGAUACCGUCGUAGUCUUAACCAUAAACUAUGCCGACUAGGAAUCAGACGAUGUUAAUUUUUAAUGACU